ACGGGACCCGCACAAGCGGUGGAUGAUGUGGAUUAAUUCGAUGCAACGCGAAAAACCUUUACCUACCCUUGACAUGUCUGGAACCUUGCUGAGAGGCGAGGGUGCCCUCGGGAGCCAGAACACAGGUGCUGCAUGGCUGUCGUCAGCUUGUGUCGUGAGAUGUUGGGUUAAGUCCCGCAACGAGCGCAACCCUUGUCAUUAGUUGCCAUCAUUUAGUUGGGCACUCUAAUGAGACUGCCGGUGACAAACCGGAGGAAGGUGGGGAUGACGUCAAGUCCUCAUGGCCCUUAUGGGUAGGGCUUCACACGUCAUACAAUGGUCGGUACAGAGGGUUGCCAAGCCGCGAGGUGGAGCCAAUCCCUUAAAGCCGAUCGUAGUCCGGAUCGUAGUCUGCAACUCGACUACGUGAAGUCGGAAUCGCUAGUAAUCGCAGAUCAGCAUGCUGCGGUGAAUACGUUCCCGGGUCUU
rnacentral:rRNA from 1 species